GUAAAUUUGAUCUUUCAGGGAAAUUAAUCUAUUCUGAAAGGCAAUAAAAAUGAAGAAGGCAAGGCAAAGCGAAGGAAGCGCUGAUGGUUUGAGAUACUGCAUAAGGGAUUUUAUUUUUUUUUCUCCUAUUUUUAAGAAAAAUUUAGGCCUGAAAUGUUUUCUCAACUUUUAUUGUACUAUGUAUAUUAUAUUGUCGUUGUGGCGGUGAUUUUUAAAGGGCAAAGUGUUGCUUCUGUUAAUUUAGCGUCCAUCCUGGUGGACCUGGUUAAUGACACACACAUAAGUAUACAUCUCCUUCUGAAGCACUGUAAACAGCAGCAAAGCUGUUUUCAGAGAAGGGUUUGGGUUUUCCUAUCAUCCCUUUGAAUGCUACACAUCCGUCUAGUUGAACCCACUCGUUCACAUUUCAGGUAUAUUUCCUUCUUUAGCCUCUUCUGCUUACUAUCCAGAGUUCGCUCACUCCCCACCAUAGGAUUUUGUCCUAUGUCAAAUGGAGAAACUAAGUUUAUUACCCCAAUAGACAUGCUGCCUCAUUCCAAAGAGCUUUCAUUGUCAUCUUGAGGUUCCAGGUAGGGAGAGAAGAAGUCUGACCUGCAGGGGUCAACAGCCAUGAGGAGGGGGAAAGGUUAUAUGAUUCAGUCACAGACAGAAGUCCAGGCACUGGGCAGAGUUUGUUGGUUUACAUUUUUAGUCAUGAUUGAUGGGCAGUAUGCAUUGGUGUCUAGCUGAAGAUGUCUUCAAAUGCCCUUACUCGUAGCAGUUUAAACAUUUAGAAUGUGGCGAUCUUAAAGUAUCACUGGCAUAUUAUGUCCA
rnacentral:lncRNA from 1 species